GUCAGUUCAUCUGAUCUCUAGAGGAAGGGAAGAACUGCUCCUUUUCAUUCAAUCUGUCCUGAAAACGUCACCAUGUUCUCUGCAGUUUUAGUUUUGCUUCUGGCAAGUGUAAACUGUAUAGAUUCAUAUGAACUCACUCAGCCUGAGUCUCUGACUGUCCGUCCUGAUGCCACUCUAACUAUCAGCUGUAAAGUCUCCUAUUCAGUUACUAGCGGACAUACAGCCUGGAUUCGUCAGCCUGCAGGAAAAGCUCUGGAAUGGAUUGGAUUUAUCGACUCUGGUGGAAGCUUAUACUACAAGGAUUCCCUGAAAAGCCAGUUCAGCAUCACCAGAGACACCUCCAGUAACACAAUAACACUGCAGGGAAAGAAUAUGAAAGCUCAAGACACAGCUGUGUAUUAUUGUGCCAAAUAUACACAGUGACAGACACCAACAGCCUCCCCGUACA